GAUGAACGCUAGCGGCAGGCCUAACACAUGCAAGUCGAGGGGCAGCAUAAGAAGUGGUUUACUACUUUUGAUGGCGACCGGCGGACGGGUGCGUAACGCGUAUGCAACCUACCCAGAACAGGGGGAUAACGGAGGGAAACUUCCACUAAUACCCCAUAACAUCAGGAUCGGCAUCGGUUUUGGUUAAAAACUCCGGUGGUUCUGGAUGGGCAUGCGUUGUAUUAGGUAGUUGGUGGGGUAACGGCUCACCAAGCCUACGAUACAUAGGGGGACUGAGAGGUUAACCCCCCACACUGGUACUGAGACACGGACCAGACUCCUACGGGAGGCAGCAGUGAGGAAUAUUGGUCAAUGGACGCAAGUCUGAACCAGCCAUGCCGCGUGCAGGAAGACGGCUCUAUGAGUUGUAAACUGCUUUUAUACAGGGAUAAACCCGUCUACGAGUAGGCGGUUGAAGGUACUGUAAGAAUAAGGACCGGCUAACUCCGUGCCAGCAGCCGCGGUAAUACGGAGGGUCCAAGCGUUAUCCGGAUUUAUUGGGUUUAAAGGGUGCGCAGGCGGGACUGUAAGUCAUUUGUGAAAAGCAUCGGCUCAACCGAUGUCUUGCGGAUGAUACUGUAGACCUGGAGUACAGAGGACGUAUGCGGAAUGUAGCAUGUAGCGGUGAAAUGCAUAGAGAUGCUACAGAACACCGAUAGCGAAGGCAGCAUACGACGGUGAUACUGACGCUCAAGCACGAAAGCGUGGGGAUCAAACAGGAUUAGAUACCCUGGUAGUCCACGCUGUAAACGAUGAUAACUGGCUUUUAGUCUGAAUGGAUUAGAGGCUGAGAGAAAUCAAUAAGUUAUCCACCUGGGGAGUACGACGGCAACGUUGAAACUCAAAGGAAUUGACGGGGGCCCGCACAAGCGGAGGAGCAUGUGGUUUAAUUCGAUGAUACGCGAGGAACCUUACCCGGGCUUAAAUGGGAGACGACGGAACAGGAAACUGUUUUUUCGCAAGACGUCUUUCAAGGUGCUGCAUGGUUGUCGUCAGCUCGUGCCGUGAGGUGUCGGGUUAAGUCCCAUAACGAGCGCAACCCACAUAUUUAGUUACCAGCACGUUAAGGUGGGGACUCUAAAUAGACUGCCUACGCAAGUAGAGAGGAAGGUGUGGAUGACGUCAAAUCAGCACGGCCCUUACGUCCGGGGCUACACACGUGCUACAAUGGUAGAGACAGAGGGCAGCGAGAUGGUGACAUUAAGCGAAUCUCAGAAACUCUAUCACAGUCCGGAUCGGAGUCUGCAACUCGACUCCGUGAAGUUGGAUUCGCUAGUAAUCGCGCAUCAGCCAUGGCGCGGUGAAUACGUUCCCGGGCCUUGUACACACCGCCCGUCAAGCCAUGGAAGCUGGGGGUACCUGAAGUACGUUACCGCAAGGAUCGUCCUAGGGUAAAACCGGUGACUGGGGCU
rnacentral:rRNA from 1 species